AGUGAACGCUGGCGGUAGGCCUAACACAUGCAAGUCGAACGGCAGCACAGUAAGAGCUUGCUCUUACGGGUGGCGAGUGGCGGACGGGUGAGGAAUACAUCGGAAUCUACUUUUUCGUGGGGGAUAACGUAGGGACACUUACGCUAAUACCGCAUACGACCUACGGGUGAAAGCAGGGGAUCUUCGGACCUUGCGCGAUUGAUUGAGCCGGUGUCGGAUUAGCUAGUUGGCGGGGUAAAGGCCCACCAAGGCGACGAUCCGUAGCUGGUCUGAGAGGAUGAUCGGCCACACUGGAACUGAGACACGGUCCAGACUCCUACGGGAGGCAGCAGUGGGGAAUAUUGGACAAUGGGCGCAAGCCUGAUCCAGCCAUACCGCGUGGGUGAAGAAGGCCUUCGGGUUGUAAAGCCCUUUUGUUGGGAAAGAAAAGCAGCAGGUUAAUACCCCGCUGUUCUGACGGUACCCAAAGAAUAAGCACCGGCUAACUUCGUG
rnacentral:rRNA from 1 species